GAGGAGGAUGAGUGUCUGGGAAAAGGAAUGCUCCUGGAGUACCCUAUGAUGUGACUGAAGCUGAGGUAAUGUGGUAUGGGGCAGCAGAAAAGCUGAUUGCAAAGCAAUUAUCUGAAACAUGCCAUGAAGAUUUGAAGCUAAGGAAGGGAAAAAAACAUUUGCACUAUACCAGGAGGAAGUUUUGCCAUUGAUGGAUCAAGCAUUAAAUAAAGACGACAUGACAAACCACUUUCAUCUUUUUAGAUUGUUUUGUU